AACGCACAUUGCGCCCGCCAGUAUUCUGGCGGGCAUGCCUGUCCGAGCGUCAUUUCAACCCUCGAACCCCUCCGGGGGGUCGGCGUUGGGGACCUCGGGAGCCCCUAAGACGGGAUCCCGGCCCCGAAAUACAGUGGCGGUCUCGCCGCAGCCUCUCCUGCGCAGUAGUUUGCACAACUCGCACCGGGAGCGCGGCGCGUCCACGUCCGUAAAACACCCAACUUCUGAAAUGUUGACCUCGGAUCAGGUAGGAAUACCCGCUGAACUUAA
rnacentral:misc_RNA from 1 species